rnacentral:lncRNA from 1 species
AAGACAAAUAUGAGGUUAAUUGAAACUAAAGUAGAUCUCUAAUUAACCGACAAAGCUUGAUAUCUUAUCAUAUAAUAAGACAAACAUUUUCAUGGUUUAACUACACAUUUGGUCCCUUACGUUUAUUUUAGAUUUCAAUUUGGUCCCUUACGUUUAAAAAGUAUCAAUUUGGUCCCUUACGUUUAUUUUAAGUUUCAAGUUAGUCCUUUCCGUUAGUUUUGUCAUUAACAUCGUUUGAAUAGUACACGUGUCAGCGUGUCCAAGUGCCACGUGUCAGUCCACGUAUGCAAAUUGACUGCCACAUGUGACAAAAUUGACGGAAAGGACCAACUUGAAACCUAAAAUAAACGUAAGGGACCAAAUUGAUACUUUUUAAACGAAAGGGACCAAAUUGAAACCUAAAAUAAACGUAAGGGACCAAAUGUAUAGUUAAGCCAAAAAUUCAUUCUUUAAAAUAGUAACAAAAACCACUCAAACCAAGCACCAAAUAGAAUAAAUACAAAUCAAGAAGUUGAAACAACACUAACAGUUCCCAUGACUAGUGAAAAGAG